rnacentral:rRNA from 1 species
UGGGGAAUUUUGGACAAUGGGCGCAAGCCUGAUCCAGCCAUUCCGCGUGCAGGACGAAGGCCUUCGGGUUGUAAACUGCUUUUGUACGGAACGAAAAGGCUCUGGCUAAUACCUGGGGCUCAUGACGGUACCGUAAGAAUAAGCACCGGCUAACUACGUGCCAGCAGCCGCGGUAAUACGUAGGGUGCAAGCGUUAAUCGGAAUUACUGGGCGUAAAGCGUGCGCAGGCGGUUAUGUAAGACAGAGGUGAAAUCCCCGGGCUCAACCUGGGAACUGCCUUUGUGACUGCAUAGCUGGAGUACGGCAGAGGGGGAUGGAAUUCCGCGUGUAGCAGUGAAAUGCGUAGAUAUGCGGAGGAACACCGAUGGCGAAGGCAAUCCCCUGGGCCUGUACUGACGCUCAUGCCCGAAAGCGUGGGGAGCAAACA